rnacentral:rRNA from 1 species
AUGAACGCUGGCGGCGUGCCUAAUACAUGCAAGUCGAGCGAACGGACGAGAAGCUUGCUUUUCUGAUGUUAGCGGCGGACGGGUGAGUAACACGUGGAUAACCUACCUAUAAGACUGGGAUAACUUCGGGAAACCGGAGCUAGUACCGGAUAAUAUUUUGAACCGCAUGGUUCAAAAGUGAAAGACGGUCUUGCUGUCACUUAUAGAUGGAUCCGCGCUGCAUUAGCUAGUUGGUAAGGUAACGGCUUACCAGGGCAACGAUGCAUAGCCGACCUGAGAGGGUGAUCGGCCACACUGGAACUGAGACACGGUCCAGACUCCUACGGGAGGCAGCAGUAGGGAAUCUUCCGCAAUGGGCGAAAGCCUGACGGAGCAACGCCGCGUGAGUGAUGAAGGUCUUCGGAUCGUAAAACUCUGUUAUUAGGGAAGAACAUAUGUGUAAGUAACUGUGCACAUCUUGACGGUACCUAAUCAGAAAGCCACGGCUAACUACGUG